rnacentral:rRNA from 1 species
ACGGAGAAGGCUAGUUCAGCAGGGGUUGGUUCCCUGUUUAAGCAUGUAGGAGGAGUUGCCAGGCAAAUCCGGCAGCUCUUAACUCCGAGGUGUGAUGACGAGGCUCCACGCGAGCCGAAGUGAAUAACGCCCCGCUUCCAGGAAAAGCCUCUAGGCUUCAGAUCACAUUGGACCGUACCGUAAACCGACACUUGUGGGUGAGCAGAUAAUCUGCCAAGGCGCUUGAGAGAACUCGGGUUAAGGAACUCUGCAAAUUGAUACCGUAACUUCGGAAGAAGGUAUGCCUUCGACGGUGUAGGGAUUUACUCCCGAAGCUGUUGAAGGUCGCAGGUAAUCGGUGGCUGCGACUGUUUAUCAAAAACACAGGACUCUGCGAACACGCAAGUGGAAGUAUAGGGUCUGACGCCUGCCCGGUGCCGGAAGGUUAAUUGAUGGGGUUAGCCGCAAGGCGAAGCUCUUGAUCGAAGCCCCGGUAAACGGCGGCCGUAACUAUAACGGUCCUAAGGUAGCGAAAUUCCUUGUCGGGUAAGUUCCGACCUGCACGAAUGGCGUAACGCUGGCCACACUGUCUCGACCCGAGACUCAGUGAAGUUGAAAUCGCUGUGAAGAUGCGGCGUUCCCGCGGCAAGACGGAAAGACCCCGUGAACCUUCACUACAGCUUUACACUGAACUUUGAACCUUUCUGUGUAGGAUAGGUGGGAGGCUAUGAAACUUGGGCGCUAGCUCGAGUGGAGCCAACCUUGAAAUACCACCCUGGGAUGUUUGAAGUUCUAACCUUGGUCCGUAAUCCGGAUUGGGGACAGUGUAUGGUGGGUAGUUUGACUGGCGGUCUCCUCCCAAAGAGUAACGGAGGAGUGCAAUGGUACGCUCAGCGCGGUCGGUCAUCGCGCUCUAGAGUGCAAAGGCAUAAGCGUGCUUAACUGUGAGACAGACACGUCGAACAGGUACGAAAGUAGGUCUUAGUGAUCCGGUGGUUCUGUAUGGAAGGGCCAUCGCUCAACGGAUAAAAGGUACUCCGGGGAUAACAGGCUUAUUCCUCCCAAGAGUCCACAUCGACGGAGGAGUUUGGCACCUCGAUGUCGGCUCAUCACAUCCUGGGGCUGUAGCAGGUCCCAAGGGUAUGGCUGUUCGCCAUUUAAAGUGGUACGCGAGCUGGGUUCAGAACGUCGUGAGACAGUUCGGUCCCUAUCUGCCGUGGGCGUUGGAAACUUGAGGGUGAGCUGUCCUUAGUACGAGAGGACCGGGAUGGACGUAUCUCUGGUGUUCCGGUUGUCACGCCAGUGGCACUGCCGGGUAGCUAUAUACGGACGGGAUAAGCGCUAAAAGCAUCUAAGCGCGAAGCCCCCCCCAAGAUUAGGUUUCCCUGGGAACUCGAUUCCCCUAAAGGGCCGUCGGAGACUACGACGUUGAUAGGCUGGGUGUGUAAGUGCAGCAAUGCAUUGAGCUAACCAGUACUAAUUGCCCGUGAGGCUUGACCAU